rnacentral:lncRNA from 1 species
AUCCACUCAAAGCAUCACACUGAUUAGCUUCUGCGGGAGUGCUAGCUCACAUAGAAACUUAUAGAUAGCUGAUCUUCUCCUUCUAUAGAUCUCUCAGACUCCUCUGAAAUCAUAGGAAGAAUAAGGAGGAAUUGGUGAUGAAAAGAUGGAGGGAGAACUCUCUUCUUUUUGACUUUUUCUCACCAAAAAAUCCUAGAAUAAAUUUCUAGGUCUCUCACCCA